UACGUAGGUGGCAAGCGUUGUCCGGAUUUACUGGGCGUAAAGAGCGCGCAGGCGGUUGAAUAAGUCGAAUGUGAAAGCCCCCGGCUCAACUGGGGAGGGUCAUUCGAUACUGUUCGACUCGAAGGCAGGAGAGGGAAGCGGAAUUCCCGGUGUAGUGGUGAAAUGCGUAGAUAUCGGGAGGAACACCAGUGGCGAAGGCGGCUUUCUGGCCUGUUCUUGACGCUGAGGCGCGAAAGCUAGGGGAGCAAACGGG
rnacentral:rRNA from 1 species